rnacentral:rRNA from 1 species
AGCAGUCGCCGCGGUAAUCCGAAGGGGGCUAGCGUUGUUCGGAAUUACUGGGCGUAAAGCGCGUGUAGGCGGGUCCUUAAGUCAGGGGUGAAAUGCCAAGGCUCAACCUUGGAACUGCCUUUGAUACUGGGGAUCUUGAGUCCGGGAGAGGUGAGUGGAACUGCGAGUGUAGAGGUGAAAUUCGUAGAUAUUCGCAAGAACACCAGUGGCGAAGGCGGCUCACUGGCCCGGAACUGACGCUGAGACGCGAAAGCGUGGGGAGCAAACAGGAUUAGAUACCCGCGUAGUCCCUGUCUCUUAUAC